rnacentral:rRNA from 1 species
UACGGAGGGUGCAAGCGUUGUCCGGAAUCAUUGGGCGUAAAGAGCGUGUAGGCGGCUCGGUAAGUCCGCUGUGAAAGUCCAGGGCUCAACCCUGGAAUGCCGGUGGAAACUGUCGAGCUAGAGUCCGGAAGAGGCGAGUGGAAUUCCUGGUGUAGCGGUGAAAUGCGCAGAUAUCAGGAGGAACACCAAUGGCGAAGGCAGCUCGCUGGGACGGUACUGACGCUGAGACGCGAAAGCGUGGGGAUCAAACAGG